rnacentral:rRNA from 1 species
AAGGCAUUGCGCAGCUAUAAUGCAGUCGACGCUUUGUGGUUCAACUGAUUUGAAGAGCUUGCUCAGAUAUGACGAUGGACAUUGCAAAGAGUGGCGAACGGGUGAGUAACACGUGGGAAACCUACCUCUUAGCAGGGGAUAACAUUUGGAAACAGAUGCUAAUACCGUAUAACAAUGACAACCGCAUGGUUGUUAUUUAAAAGAUGGUUCUGCUAUCACUAAGAGAUGGUCCCGCGGUGCAUUAGCUAGUUGGUAAGGUAAUGGCUUACCAAGGCGAUGAUGCAUAGCCGAGUUGAGAGACUGAUCGGCCACAAUGGGACUGAGACACGGCCCAUACUCCUACGGGAGGCAGCAGUAGGGAAUCUUCCACAAUGGGCGAAAGCCUGAUGGAGCAACGCCGCGUGUGUGAUGAAGGGUUUCGGCUCGUAAAACACUGUUGUAAGAGAAGAAUGACAUUGAGAGUAACUGUUCAAUGUGUGACGGUAUCUUACCAGAAAGGAACGGCUAAAUACGUGCCAGCAGCCGCGGUAAUACGUAUGUUCCAAGCGUUAUCCGGAUUUAUUGGGCGUAAAGCGAGCGCAGACGGUUAUUUAAGUCUGAAGUGAAAGCCCUCAGCUCAACUGAGGAAUUGCUUUGGAAACUGGAUGACUUGACUGCAGUAGAGGAAACUGGAAGUCUAUGUGUCGCGGUGAAAUGCGUAGAUAUGUGGAAGAGCACCACGGGCGAAGGCGGCUGUCUGGACUGUAACUGACGUUGAGGCUCGUUCGUGCGGGUGCAAACACUAUUAGAUACCGUGUAAGGCCCAGAGUACGGAUGAGUGCUAGGUGUUCGACGUGAUCCGCGCUCAGUGCCCCGCCUAACGCAUAAUUCACUUCUCCUCGUGCAUACCGAUCGCAUGGCUGUGUCU